AUGCCCGGGGAGGCUGCCCGCGCCGAGCUGCUGCUGCCGGAGGCGGGCGGGCCGGGACCCCGCACAGAUCUGUCCUGUGAUGCGGCUGAGGCUACCACCCCAAAGGGGGACCGGCUGGAGCACUGUGCCCUGACAUCUGGGCCCAGCGCCCUGGCUCUCACGUUCCUGCACGGCAAGCCUGGUGCCCGGCCCCCGCCUGAGGGAGCCAGCUGGGAUGCAGGGCCGGGCCGCGCCCCCUCAGCCUGGGCAGUCCAGGCAGAGGGCGGCCCCAGUCCAGGGCCCGCUGAGGUUCGGCCUGCUGAAGGUCCUCUCCCAGCCUCCCUGGAGCCCCGGAUUGUCAUGGGCGAGGAGACGUGCCAGGCAGCCCCGCUGCCCAGGGCAACCAUGCCGGAGCUCAGGGACUGGGAGGGUGGGCAUGCUAAUCUGAACCCACCCCCAGAGUUGUGUUCUCAGGGUGACCCUCCUGUGCCUUUCCCUGCCCCAGACUCCGAUUCCUACUUCACGCCUCCCUCCACCCCCACCAAGACAGCCUCCACCCUGCUCCCUGGCCCCGGGCCCCACAGGGACACCCAGGAUGCCCAGGCUGAGCUGGGGGACUCGCCGCCAGCCUCGCCCACUGGCUCGUACAUCACGGCAGAUGGGGACAGCUGGGCCUCAUCCCCAUCCUGCUCCCUGAGCCUUCAGGCCCUGGCCGAAGGGCUGGAUGUGCCCUCGGGCUGGGGCUUCUCUCCACCCGGCUCUGUGGUCGAUGAGAGGGAGCUGCCCCCUGCAGGGACCCCGGACAGCUCGUCCCCAGAGUCCAGCCUCUCAGCAGACAGCAGCUCUUCCUGGGGCCAGGAGGGCCACUUCUUCGAGCUGGACUUCUUGGCCAAUGACCCAAUGAUCCCUGCUUACCUCCUGCCCUUCCAGGGCAGCCUGAUUUUCCAGGUGGAGGCGGUGGAGGUGACACCCCUGCCCCACGAGGAGGAGGAAGUGGAGGAGGAGGAGCAAGAAGAGGAGCAGGAGGUCCCCCUCCCCAGAGGGGAUCUAGCCGGGGAGGGCGAGGAUGAUAGCACAUUCGCAUCCUCCCUGCAGUCGCUGUCCGACCUGUCCAUCACCGAGGGCGUGGAUGAGGCCUUCGCCUUCCGGGAUGACACUUCAGCUGCCUCCUCUGACCCCGACUCGGCCUCCUACACGGGGGCUGAUGAUGAGAGGCUGUACAGCGGAGAGCCCCACGCACAGCCCACCACACUGCUCCAGGACAGCCCUGGGGAGGCUGCCUCCUGGGGCCCAGAGCUCACUCUUGGGGUGUCCAAGGGAGAGGCUGGCCAGGCUGCCAAGAGUCAGGAACCCAUCUCCGAGAUAACGAGGGUGGGUCCCGCUGCAGCCCAGGUGUCUUCUGCUAUGGCCCUUCACAUCCCACAGGAAUCUCUGGACCACACUGGGAUGAGCCCUCAGGCCCAGAGAGAAGAGCCAGGCUCCACCAUGGGACCAGUACCUGUUGCCCCAGUCACGUCUCAGCCCCUGCAGGAGGGAGAUAUUGCUACUUUAGGCCCAGAGCCCUGGAUUUCGAAGGGAGAAGCAGACCUCAACUGUCUACAAACCCUGAAGGAAGACACAGGCCAGGGGUUUGCCACUGCAACCAGCCCUGAACCCCAGCCAGAAGUGGAUCCAGCAGCAUUGCCACCCCUGCAGGAUGCAGGUAUCCCCUGGGUCCAGGAAUCUGCCUCUGAGACCAGCCUUGAGCCCCAGUUGGAAGAAGAAGGCCUGACAGCAUCCUCACCCCUGCAGGAUGCAGGUCUCCCCUUGGUCCAGGAAUCUGCCUCUGAAGCUAGCCCGGAGCCCCAGUCAGAAGAAGAAGAUCUGACAGCAUCUUCAACCUCACAGGAUGCAGGUCUCCCCUUGGUCCAGGGAUCUGCCUCUGAGGCCUGCCCUGAGCCCCAAUCAGAAGAAGAAGAUCUAACAGCAUCCUCACCUCUGCAGGAUGCAGGUCCCCACUUGGUCCAGGGAUCUUCCUCUGAAGCUAGCCCGGAGCCCCAAUCAGAAGAAGAUCUGACAGCAUCCUCAACCUCACAGGAUGCAGGUCUCCCUUUGGUCCAGGGAUCUGUAUCUGAGGUCAGCCCUGAGCCCCAGUCAGAAGAAGAUCUGACAGCAUCCUUACCCCUGAAGGAUGAAGGUCUCCCCUUGGUCCAGGGAUCUGCCUCUGAGGCCAGCCUGGAGCCCCAGUCAGAAGAAGAAGAUCUGACAGCAUCCUUAUCCCUGAAGGAUGCAGGUCUCCCCUUGGUCCAGAGAUCUGCCUCUGAGGCCAGCCUGGAGCCCCAGUCAGAGGAAGAUCUGACAGCAUCCUUACCCCUGAAGGAUGAAGGUCUCCCUUUGGUCCAGGGAUCUGCCUCCAAGGCCAGCUCUGAGCCCCAGUCAGAAGAAGAUCUGACAGCAUCCUUAUCCCUGAAGAAUGAAGGUCUCCCCUUAGUCCAGGGAUCUGCCUCCGAGGCCAGCCCUGAGCCCCAGUCAGAAGAAGAUCUAACAGCAUCCUCACCCCUGCAGGAUGAAUGUCUCCCCUUGGUCCAGGGAUCUGCCUCCAAGGCCAGCCCUGAGCCCCAGUCAGAAGAAAAAGAUCUAGCAGCAUCCUCACCCCUGAAGGAUGAAUGUCUCCCCUUGGUCCAGGGAUCUGCCUCUGAGGCCAGCCCUGAGCCCCAGUCAGAAGAUCUAACAGCAUCCUCACCUCUGCAGGAUGCAGCUCUCCGUUUGGUCCAGGGAUCUGUCUUCGAGGCCAGCCCUGAGCCCCACUCAGAAGAGGACCUGACAGCUUCUCCACCCCUGCAGGACACAGGUCUCCCCUUGGUCCAGGGAUCUGCUUCUGAGGCCAGCCCUGAGCCCCAGUCAGAAGAAGAGGACCUGACAGCCUCCCCACCCCUGCAGGAUGCAGGUCUCCCCUUGGUCCAUGGAUCUGCCUCCGAGGCCAGCCCUGAGCUCCAGUCAGAAGUGACAGCAUCCCCACCCCUGCAGGAUGCAGGUCUCCCCUGGGUCCAAGGAUCUGCUUCUGAGGCCAGCCCUGACCACCAGUCCGAUCUGAAAGCAUCCUUGCCCCUGCAGGAUGCAGGACUUCCCUUGGUCCAGGGAUCUGCCUCUGAGGCCAGCCCUGAGCCCCAGUCAGAAGAAGAUCUAACAGCAUCCUCACCCCUGCAGGAUGAAUGUCUCCCCUUGGUCGAGGGAUCUGCCUCCAAGGCCAGCCCUGAGCUCCAGUCAGAAGAAGAAGUGACAGUAUCCCCACCCCUGCAGGUUGCAGGUCUCCCCUUGGUCCAGGGAUCUGCCUCCGAUGCUACUUCAGAGCCCCAGUCAGAAGAGCUGACAGCAUCCUCGCACCUGCAGGACGCAGGUCUCCCCUUGAUCCAGGGAUCUGUUUCCGAGGCCAGCCCUGAGCCCCAGUCAGAAGAAGAGGAGCUGACAGCAUCCUCACACCUGCAGGACGCAGGUCUCCCCUCGGUCCAGGGAUCUGUUUCCGAGGCCAGCCCUGAGCCCCAGUCAGAAGAAGAGGAGCUGACGGCCUCCCCAUCCCUGCAGGACGCAGGACUCCCCUUGGUCCAGGGAUCUGCAUCUGAGGUCAGCCCUGAGCUCCAGUCAGAAGAGGACCUGACAGCCUCCCCACCCCUGCAGGAUGCAGGACUCCCCUUGGUCCAGGGAUCUGCAUCUGAGGUCAGCCCUGAGCCCCAGUCAGAAGAAGAGGACCUGACAGCCUCCCCACCCCUGCAGGAUGCAGGUCUCCCCUUGGUCCAGGGAUCUGCCUCCGAUGCCAGCUCAGAGCCCCAGUCAGAAGAGGAGCUGACGGCCUCCCCAUCCCUGCAGGAUGCAGGUCUCCCCUUGGUCCUGGGAUCUGUUUCUGAGGCCAGCUCAGAGCCCCACUCAGAAGAGGAGCUGACAGCCUCCCUGCCCCUGCAGGACACAAGUCUCCCCUCGGUCCAGGGAUCUGCCUCCGAUGCCAGCUCAGAGCCUCAGUCAGAAGAAGAAGAUCUCACAGCCUCCCCAACUCUGCAGGACGCAGGUCUCCCCUUGGUCCAGGGAUCUGUUUCUGAGGCCAGCCCAGAGCCCCACUCAGAAGAAGAGGAGCUGACAGCCUCCCCCCCGCUGCAGGAUGCAGGUCUCCCCUUGGUCCAGGGAUCUGUUUCUGAGGCCAGCCCAGAGCCCCACUCAGAAGAAGAGGAGCUGACAGCCUCCCCCCCGCUGCAGGACGCAGGUCUCCCCUUGGUCCAGGGAUCUGUUUCUGAGGCCAGCCCAGAGCCCCACUCAGAAGAAGAGCUUACAGCCUCCCCACCCCUGCAGGAUGCAGGUCUCCCCUUGGUCCAGGGAUCUGUUUCUGAGGCCAGCCUGGAGCCCCACUCAGAAGAGGAGCCGACAGCCUCCCCGCCCCUGCAGGACGCAGGUCUUCCCUUGGUCCAGGGAUCUGCCUCUGAUGCCAGCUCAGAGCCCCAGUCCGAAGAAGAGGAGCUUACAGCCUCCCCAACUCUGCAGGAUGCAGGUCUCCCCUUGGUCCAGGGAUCUGCCUCCGAUGCCAGUUCAGAGCCCCACUCAGAAGAAGAGGAGCUGACAGCCUCCCCGCCCCUGCAGGACGCAGGUCUUCCCUUGGUCCAGGGAUCUGCCUCUGAUGCCAGCUCAGAGCCCCAGUCUGAAGAAGAGGAGCUGACAGCCUCCCCGCCCCUGCAGGACGCAGGUCUUCCCUUGGUCCAGGGAUCUGUUUCUGAGGCCAGCUCAGAGCCCCACUCAGAAGAGGAGCUGACAGCCUCCCCGCCCCUGCAGGACGCAGGUCUCCCCUUGGUCCAGGGAUCUGCCUCCGAUGCCAGCUCAGAGCCCCAGUCCGAAGAAGAUCUCACAGCCUGCCCAACUCUGCAGGACACAGGUCUCCCUUUGGUCCAGGGAUCAGCCUCCAAGGUCAGCCCGGAGCCCCAGUCAGAUCUCACAGCCUCCCCAACCCUGCAGGAUGCAGGUCUCCCCUUGGUCCAGGGAUCAGCCUCCAAGGCCAGCCCGGAGCCCCAGUCAGAAGAAGAUCUCACAGCCUUCCCGCCCCUGCAGGAAGCAGGUCUCCCCUCCAGUCAAGUAUCUGCCACCAGUGCCAGCCCUCAGGCCCCGAUGACUGACACAGGCUGUAUCCAAGAGACAGAGCCCACAGCCACUGCAGCCCAUAGGAAAGGAAGAAAGACCCUGGGACUGAGGCCAGCACCUGAGGAAAGAGACCCAGACCACACUCGAGGAUCAGACUCUCUGGCCUUGGAUCAGAUACAUCUGGGUGGCCCAGACCUACCUGCAGAUGCUCGGACACCCUUGGAGGGAGAUGCAGGCCCCUCCAAGCCUGCCACAGAGGUCCCAGACACACCUGAGCCUUUCACAGCCACCCAAGGUCCCCCAAAGCCUGACUCCAGUGGGGAGGAAGUAGCCAAGGGCAUUUUGGCACCUGAGCAGGAAGCCUGUCAUGAUGUUUGUGCACAUGGGGAUGAUGGAGCUGAGUCCAGCUCACCCCCAAAGGAGGCCCUGGGGGCUGAGCACCAGGGCCAUGAGGCCCUAAAGCCAGUGGUUCAUGGCCCAGGGGUGUGUCCUACUGCCAGCCUGGAGGUUGGCCAGUUGGGGCCCCCAAGCCCAGUGGAGGAAGGAAGGGCUACUCUUGGGCACAGGCUUCCCAUGGCUGUGGGCUCAGAGGUUGGGCUGAGCUCCUGCUCAGAGUCUCCUUCAAGAGCUGUGCCCAGGCUGGGAGGGCACUGUGCCAAAGAUCCUGCCCCAACAUCUCCACUGCCCUUGAGGCAGCCAAAGCCUGUGCUGGGCCCAGGCAGGGGAGAGCAGGCCCAGGCAGCACUUGGAGCCCUUGGCCCCACCCCGCUGCAGCCUCCAGAAAGCCCCAUAGGGGGUCUUCCCAGUGCACCCCAAGACAGGAUCCAGGGCCCUGAGCCCCCUGCUCCUGGUGUCCUCAUGGAGGCAGUUCCAAGCCCCCUGGCAUCCCCUGCUCCCUGCCCUUGCCGGGGACCCCGGGAAGACUUGGUGGAGGGCGCGGAGCCCCUGGGCUCUCCGAGCCACCCACCACCUCGGCCAAGAACCCAGCGGGCGGUGGCUGCCUCCUCAGGGAUCACAAACCCCCCUGGGGCUGGGCAGGUCAGCCUCCCACCCCACCCCACCCUCCUCAGCCCCAAGGCAGCCCCCAAGAGGGGUACCCAUGCCAAAGACCCAGCCUCGAGGCUCUCACCCCCUCGCCAAGUGCCUCCUGGCUCUGGACCCCGGAGCCCAGCCGGCCCUCGAGGGCUCCCAGCCACCGAGCAGCAGGAUGACGGCGACAGUUUGGAGGAAGGUGAGUGGGAUGCAGGCGGCAGCUCUGUCCUGAGCCAGGGACCCAGGGGGCAGAGGGCUGGGCAGGGAUGCCAGAGCUGCUCGCCCCGUGCUUGUCCAGAAGGGCAGGCCAUCCUCACACUCCCCUUCCUCAGACUCGCCCCGCGCUCUGGGCUCUGGCCAGCACUCGGACAGCCACGGGGAGUCGUCAGCCGAGCUGGAGGAGCAGGACCUCCCAGGACCACAGACCGCACAGUGCCCAGCCCAGGUGCCCGAAAAGGCAGGUUGUGCACCCAGGGGAGGGCUCCGUGCCCUGCCCUCGGGUGCUCAGACCCCCUUUCUUCUCCAGGCCCCAGCUGGCAGUGGGAGCGAGGAGACAGUCGCCAAAGCCAAGCAGAGUCGCAGUGAGAAGAAGGCCCGAAAGGUGGGCUGGGCACCCAGCUGGGACUCUGCUCCCUCUAGGAGGGGCCAGGCUGGCCAGACAACCCCAGCCACCCCAAGAGUGGGGCUGGCAGCCUAAAGGGACCCUUUCCCACCCCAUAGCUGAUGAAUCCCAUCGAUGGGGGCCCUGGGAUAAAGGGAGUAACUGGAUGCUUUGUGUGAAGUAACUGGGGCUGGGCUGUCAGUUGAAACAGACUCACAGCCUGAGUCUGACGUCCUAUUUGCUCACUUGGGGAGCCACCUGGGAGGCUCCACAGAGGGUGGGUGGUGGAACCCUUGUGCCCCCUGGCAGUGGGCCGUUUCCCCCGGACUUGCUCCUCUCCCCCAACCCCCAACUGGGAACUUUGGGGCCCAUGCCCAGGUCUGAGACCAUUGUGCUUCCAGGCGAUGUCCAAGCUGGGCUUACGACAGAUCCAGGGGGUCACCAGGAUCACCAUCCAGAAGUCCAAGAACAUCCUCUUUGUCAUUGCCAAGCCCGAUGUCUUUAAGAGCCCAGCCUCAGACACCUACGUGGUCUUCGGCGAGGCCAAG
rnacentral:lncRNA from 1 species